rnacentral:rRNA from 1 species
GGAUUAGAUACCCUGGUAGUCCACGCCGUAAACGUUGGGUGCUCGUCGUUGCGGGUAUUGACCCCUGCAGUGACCAAGCUAACGCAAGAAGCACCCCGCCUGGGAAGUACGGUCGCAAGACUAAAACUCAAAGAAAUUGACGGGGGCCCGCACAAGCGGUGGAGCAUGUGGUUUAAUUCGAAGCAACGCGCAGAACCUUACCUGGAUUUGACAUCCUCGGAACUUCUCUGAAAAGAGAAGGUGCCUUCGGGAGCCGAGUGACAGGUGCUGCAUGGCUGUCGUCAGCUCGUGCUG